rnacentral:rRNA from 1 species
GAUGAACGCUAGCUACAGGCUUAACACAUGCAAGUCGAGGGGUAGCACGGAAGAAGCUUGCUUCUUUGGGUGACGACCGGCGCACGGGUGAGUAACGCGUAUCCGACCUACCCAUUACUCGGGCACAGCCGCUCGAAAGAGUGAUUGAUUCCCGAUAUGUCCUUGGAGUAGAUUCAAUGAUGAAAGAUUUAUCGGUAAUGGAUGGGGAUGCGUAAGAUUAGGUAGUAGGCGGGGUAACGGCCCACCUAGCCGACGAUCUUUAGGGGUUCUGAGAGGAAGGUCCCCCACACUGGUACUGAGACACGGACCAGACUCCUACGGGAGGCAGCAGUGAGGAAUAUUGGUCAAUGGGCGAAGCCUGAACCAGCCAAGUAGCGUGAAGGAUUACAGCCCUACGGGUUUUAAACUUCUUUUAUAUAAGAGUAAUGUGCACUACGUGUAGUGUAUUGCAAGUAUUAUAUGAAUAAGCAUCGGCUAACUCCGUG